rnacentral:rRNA from 1 species
UACAGAGGGUGCAAGCGUUGCUCGGAAUCAUUGGGCGUAAAGGGCAAGUAGGUGGUCUCAUUUGUCUAGGGUGAAAUCCUUGAGCUUAACUCAAGAAGUGCCCUAGAAACGGUGAGACUCGAGUACUGGAGAGGGUCGUGGAAUUCCCGGUGUAGCGGUGAAAUGCGUAGAGAUCGGGAGGAACACCAGUGGCGAAGGCGACUACCUGGCCUGUUCUUGACGCUGAGGCGCGAAAGCUAGGGGAGCAAACGGG